CAGCCGCCGCGGGAAUGCGUAGGUGGCAAGCGUUGUCCGGAAUUAUUGGGCGUAAAGGGCUCGCAGGCGGUUUCUUAAGUCUGAUGUGAAAGCCCCCGGCUCAACCGGGGAGGGUCAUUGGAAACUGGGAAACUUGAGUGCAGAAGAGGAGAGUGGAAUUCCACGUGUAGCGGUGAAAUGCGUAGAGAUGUGGAGGAACACCAGUGGCGAAGGCGACUCUCUGGUCUGUAACUGACGCUGAGGAGCGAAAGCGUGGGGAGCGAACAGGAUUAGAUACCCCUGUAGUCCCUGUCUCUUAUAC
rnacentral:rRNA from 1 species